AUGCUUACUGAAUCCAUAAAGUGGUUCCGUCACAAGCCUCGUGAUUGGUGCAGCUGGCUGCUUCUGACCAAUCACCGGCCUUCUCACUUCUCCCUCUAUCUGGUGACCUUCCUCCAUUUUUUUCGUGUCCGAAGUCACCGGUGUUGGUCAAAUUUAGGCCGUUUUCGAGCGUUUUCUAACAAGGUCAGUCAGCAUCAUGGCAGGAGCAGGAGGACCUGAGCCAGUCUUCACUGGGCUGAAGCACUACUUCAACUCCUACACUAUAUUCGGCAGGAAAAAUUUUGUGUUGGCCACAUACGGCACGAUUGGCGCUCUGUUCCUGAUCUCUAAGCUCCGGAAACCCAAACAGAAGGCAGUGUCCGACUAGGGAGGCAUUGUUAUACAUACAAGAAUCAGAUGUCUAUGCUGUUUUACCAGAGAUCAAACAACUGAUGUGAGCUAUCAUCCAACUGAGAAGACUCCACACUUAACCCGAGUUGACAGCAUCCAUAUAUAGCGAUGUAAAUGUGCUUCAGCAGAUGUGGUUGAUUCACUUUCCUUUCAGUGUGAAAUGUACUUUAGUCUCCAUUCAUUAAAGAAGAUGUAAACCAGAA